rnacentral:rRNA from 1 species
AAGCCUGAUCCAGCCAUGCCGCGUGUGUGAAGAAGGCCUUCGGGUUCUAAAGCACUUUCAGCGAGGAAGAACGCCUUGGGAUUAAUACUCUCGAGGAAAGACAUCACUCGCAGAAGAAGCACCGGCUAACUCCGUGCCAGCAGCCGCGGUAAUACGGAGGGUGCAAGCGUUAAUCGGAAUUACUGGGCGUAAAGCGCGCGUAGGUGGCUAAGUCAGCCAGGUGUGAAAGCCCCGGGCUCAACCUGGGAACGGCAUCUGGAACUGCUUGGCUAGAGUGCAGGAGAGGAAGGUAGAAUUCCCGGUGUAGCGGUGAAAUGCGUAGAGAUCGGGAGGAAUACCAGUGGCGAAGGCGGCCUUCUGGACUGACACUGACACUGAGGUGCGAAAGCGUGGGUAGCAAACAGGAUUAGAUACCCUGGUAGUCCACGCCGUAAACGAUGUCAACUAGCCGUUGGGUCCCUUGAGGACUUAGUGGCGCAGCUAACGCAAUAAGUUGACCGCCUGGGGAGUACGGCCGCAAGGUUAAAACUCA